rnacentral:hammerhead_ribozyme from 1 species
AUCUAGCUGACGAGUCCCAAAUAGGUUGAAACGCGCUUCCUGAU